AGUGAACGCUGGCGGUAGGCCUAACACAUGCAAGUCGAACGGCAACACAGUAAGAGCUUGCUCUUACGGGUGGCGAGUGGCGGACGGGUGAGGAAUACAUCGGAAUCUACUUUUUCGUGGGGGAUAACGUAGGGAAACUUACGCUAAUACCGCAUACGACCUACGGGUGAAAGCAGGGGAUCUUCGGACCUUGCGCGAUUGAAUGAGCCGAUGUCGGAUUAGCUAGUUGGCGGGGUAAAGGCCCACCAAGGCGACGAUCCGUAGCUGUUCUGAGAGGAUGAUCAGCCACACUGGAACUGAGACACGGUCCAGACUCCUACGGGAGGCAGCAGUGGGGAAUAUUGGACAAUGGGCGCAAGCCUGAUCCAGCCAUACCGCGUGGGUGAAGAAGGCCUUCGGGUUGUAAAGCCCUUUUGUUGGGAAAGAAAAGCAGCAGGUUAAUACCCCGCUGUUCUGACGGUACCCAAAGAAUAAGCACCGGCUAACUUCGUG
rnacentral:rRNA from 1 species